GAAACUGAGACACAGACACACCCAUGAGUUGAAGCUCCACCAGCUGUUGGUUCGUGUCUGUGGGUGGGAACAGGUCAAACCGGUGUCUGUGGACAAAGUGGGCGUGUUCUUCAGAUACGCAGCUCCAGACAGAACCAGCUCUGCUAACACUGUGGGCAGUCCAAUCAGCAGAACCAACAUCAUCCAUCCACAUGUCUAUGUAAGAGACACACACACACACACACACAUAUACAGUGGAAGG